rnacentral:lncRNA from 1 species
UUAUAUCCUGUGAUUUUUAAAACUACCUUUGACGCCAUUAAAUCUAAUAUUUUUUUUUUAUCUUAUUCCCAUUCAAUCUAAUUAAUUCCAAAAACAAAAUAUAUAUCCUUAAUUCCUAAUCAUUCCAUUGAACUAUUUUUUUUUUCUUAAUAUAAAUUAUUUAACUACUCUUGUGAAAUAAGAGUUAUACUCUAAAAGCUGAAGUAAGUAUUAGAGAACGGUGUUAUAUGUUAUUACAUUUAACACUCUCUUCACGUUUGGGCUCAAGAUUUUUUUGUAAGGCCCAUGAAGUGGACUUGAAUUAACUGUUAGAGAACGGUGUUAUAUAUUUUUAUAUUUAACACUUCCUCUCACGUCUCAGCUUGAGCUUUUUUUUUUGAUUAAAUAGGGUUAAACCCUAUUUUAGAAGCGGGUACUUGAGCUUUUUGUAAGGCCCAUAAUGUGAACUUGAAUUAAAUAGGAGAGAACUAAUAAUACUAGGAGCUUGGCGUGACUCGAAUUCAGAACAUCCUGCUCUGAUACUAUGUGAAGUUUGGGCUCGAGAUUUUUUGCAAGACCUAUCAUGUGGACUUAAAUUAAAUAGGAGAAAAUUAAUAAUAUUAGGAACCUAGCGUGACUCGAAGAAUCAUAUGUUUUGAUACCAUAUAAAACAAUCGUUCUACUCUAAAAGAUUAAGUUGUUAGAGAACGGUGUUAUAUAUUUUUAUAUUUAACAACUCUUAAUAACAUAAGUUUUAAUGAUGGAAAUUUA